UGAUGGGGAAGGCCUAGUGCUGGUGUGUCAAUUUCCUCAAAGCUGCUGUGUGUUGCUUCUGCACCCUGGAUCCUGGAUUCAAAAAUAAGGUAAUGUUAACCCUCCAGUGCCUGGGUCCCUGAAUCGAUCAAGAGAGGAAAAGAUUUUACAGAUUCACACCUCCUUUGUGCUUGAAUAUGCCAGCGUGGGAUCAUUUUACCAAAUGAUAUCCAAGAAAGGGAAACCUGUGGAGAGAAAUGGUGUGAGUUCAAGCAAACACUCCCAGAAAAGGAAAGGGGCAGAAAACAAAGGAGGC